CGGAGGGUGCAAGCGUUAUCCGGAUUCACUGGGUUUAAAGGGUGCGUAGGCGGGUUGGUAAGUCCGUGGUGAAAUCUCCGAGCUUAACUCGGAAACUGCCGUGGAUACUAUCAAUCUUGAAUAUCGUGGAGGUAAGCGGAAUAUGUCAUGUAGCGGUGAAAUGCUUAGAUAUGACAUAGAACACCAAUUGCGUAGGCAGCUUACUACACGAUCAUUGACGCUGAGGCACGAAAGCGUGGGGAGCAAACAGGAUUAGAUACCCUGGUAGUCCACGCCCUAAACGAUGGAUACUCGACAUCAGCGAUACACUGUUGGUGUCUGAGCGAAAGCAUUAAGUAUCCCACCUGGGAAGUACGAUCGCAAGAUUG
rnacentral:rRNA from 1 species